rnacentral:tRNA from 1 species
GGAGAUCCUCAAUGAAGGGUAGAGCGAACGCCUCCUAAUCGGUAGGUUGGCAGUUCAAUUCUGCCCGGGACCACCA